CCCUUUCCAUGAGCCCCUUCAUCCUAAACCAUCAGAACCGAUGUCAAAGUUUUAACUUUCCUUCUUUUUGUUACUUUGUUUCCACACAUUCUUGUACCCAUUUAGCCCCUAAUUUUACGCCCCACUCCCUCCCCAAAUUGCAAAAUCAAGAUCUCUUUCUCCUCCUCUUUGUGUUUCCAGAACAUAUGGAGAAGAUAUUGUGGAAAUCAAGGGAGGAAUUAGUCCAAGUUCAAUGUAUCACAAGAUAAGUAGAAUAUAUUUUUCCGGAUUUAUUGUUUAACGGAUUUGGUUCUCUUUCUUAUCAAUUUGAUUUUAAAAAUCUCAAUCUUGUAUGUUUUCUUCUUUUUAAAAGCUUUCCUUUCCUAACCUGAAUUUUUGGCUCUAUUCAUAUAUGGCCGAAUUUGAGUAAAUUUCUGACGCUUUUCUAUAUAGACUAAAUCACUUUCUUUCCAAAGUUGAACCUCCAACUUUUGGUAAUUGAUUCUGUCAAAAUUUUAUUCUUUACUAAUUAGCAACCUUAAAUUUCGUCUGUUUUACCUUUUAUAAUUUAGAGGCUUGGUAAUGCCUUAGCUAUAAAUAUCCUAUUGUUAAGACCAUAGAGGGGGGGACUUCGGACAAUGACUUAUUCACAAACAUUAUAACUUUCUUAUUAAGAUUUGUUACACGAAUUGCUUCUACUAUUCGUGUAACAAAGUCGACGGGAAGUUGCGGCAAAGCUUGUUGCUUUUCAUUCCUCUCGAUUUGGAUUCUUUCUUGUUGCUGCUGUUCGAAGUUUAUCGUUGCGAUAUUUGGUCUAUUUUACUGUUGAAACUUUGUUCGUGGACUAUUCAUUUGGAUUUCUGGUUUUCUUAUUAAUUCGGCACGUCGCGAACUGGUUAGUCUCCUCAACAAUGCAUUCAAUUCCUAUGUGUUAGUUGGUUGUAGAGUAAUUUAGUUUCUUCCAAAUUUUUGUAUCGCGUAAAUUUCUAUGUAUGUUUAUACCCCUGACUAUGUUGAGUGUCGGGCGACACUCUAUUUUAAAGCAGGCCAAAUUAAAGACCAGGUAUGUAUUCUGAUCUUAGUGUGCUUUUAUUCUCUUUGUUGGUUUAUGGCUCUUUUGGACGUAAAAAGCAUGUUUUAGAGAUAAGUUUAUAGACACCAAUCGGAGAUUAUGUUUUUAGGAGAUCACUGAUAAUUGAUUAUUAAGUGGAUUGAUCAUGUUAAAAUUCUUUUGUCAGAGAAUAUUAGAUCAGCAGUAUGUUUGGUGUGUGUUUUUGUAUACCUGACACUAAUGCUAUUGGGUUUUGAGACAACUUGAGAAGUCAGCGGGGAAUCUGGAAAGUAAUUUUAUCCAUGUUAUAAUUUUCAUUCAACUUGGAUUUUGUUUUUUUUUUCCUUUUAAUGAAAAACUUCUAAUUUCCUUUUAAAAAAAUGCAUAUCUAGUCAUAUACUUGCUUGAAAUUGGCCCAACAGUGUUGUAUGAAAUUUUUAUAGCCUAUCUCAAAUAUUACUUUAAGCUUUAGCUCUUGUAUCAAUUAUCCUAUUUUGCAGUGCACUUUCUUCUACCAUUGUUUUAUACUUGGUUAUCAAAUUAACGACAUUAUUACCCAUUUUAGUGAGCCACUUAAUACUUUUAAUCACCUUAACUAGUUCGGAGGCCAACAUGAGCCCUUACUUGUCUUAUGUGUAACUUGUCCAAUGUGCUCGUUUUAUGUGACGCUAAUAAGGAUAGAAAUUGAAACUUGAGAUUUUCUUUUAAGUCUAGAACCAUCCCUUUAGAAUAGUGUCCAAAGCCUCCUGGACUAUAAGAAUGGGGCGGGUAGGCUUACUAAUGCACGAUUUAGAAUUAAUUAGUGCGCUUUAAGUAACGACUUAAAGAUAGUAACGAGGGUAGCGGACAUGAUGCACAAAUUGCCCGAAUAGCCAUUACACUUUUGGCUAUAGAAGUCUUAGUAGGCUUUGCACGAGAGUUGAUCCAUUGUAUUCCUAUCGUGAUUUCUUCCUUUUGCAUAUUACUACGUGCGGAGAAGCGAGGUCCUAUCCUCCUAGUUUAUAUUUAACUUAUACAUAUGUCCCUAUAGAGAGAUUUUGUAUUUUCUUUAUUAAUUAUUAAUUAAAAAUCUGUCCAUGUCAUCCUGUCGUCUUUUCGUAUAAUAUAUAUUUUUCUUAUAAAAAGAUUUGCUUUUUUCCUAAUGAAUGUUUUUGGUCGUCCAAAUUACUAUCUUUUCUUUGAUCUUUUUUCUAUAGUUUUGCUCAUGUAGAAUAAUUGAUACAUAACUUGUUUAUUCGACCACUUAGACCAUUUAGAGUAAAUCUGAAUCACAUAGAUCCCACAUAGUUUAAAAUUCGGCUGGGAACCACAUUUGUAGACCUUGAAGAGUGCCUAACACCUUCUCUUCGAGGUAACUUGAACCUUUAUCCGAUCUUUAGUGAUGAAGACUAGUUAACUCAGAGUUACUUGUAAAUAGGCGCUCUAACGCACCUUAAACCCUUAGGUGGCGACUCUUCUCUUUUAAUACCUCUUCAUUUAAAAGAGUUGUCACAUGUCGAAAUUUACUUUCGCGAGAAAAUGGGGCGCGACAACAAUGAUGCAAGAAACAUGAAGACCUCAUAGUUAUACGCCCGAAUCAACAAGUCACAUCUAACGCCACCGGGCACACACACCGUAAGCUAAAACUCAAAUAAGCACAAGACGAAAACGACUGAAUAUGUAAGGAGAAGCACAUAAGAGAAAUAUCAAACAAGCCAGAGAUACACAACUCUCUAUCAGUAUCAUACUCCGAAUCAAUUUACAAGGAAAAAUCAAAGUGUGUGAACAAAUCACAAGGAUCUCAUCCUGAUAUAACUUUCACUGCGGCACACGACCCUGUUCAAACAUAUCAAAUCACAUAAAAUCGCGAGGGUCUCACCCUAGACUCUGAAUCACAAGUCGAAUACACAUCUUACCAAUUGAAACCUUCCACUAAUUCAACUCUGCCAAUAAAAUCACAACACUUUACUGAACUCUCACCCCGACAGAGCAUCUAAAUCACAACUCGUAACCAAAAUUAAUCAGGAAUCACAUAAAAACCUAUCGUAAUGGACAACAUGAAUUCACUUCGAGUCUCGUAACUCUCAAUAAUGAAUAAAAACAAUGGUAGACACGGGCUACCACUCAUAGAAUCUCCCGACAGGGUAAACACAUAAGCAGAAUACUAAAUCAUGAACUCUCCCAUAGGUGAGGCAACAAAUAGGAGGACUCAUCCCGAUAAGCAGAACUGAAACAAAAUAUGGGUGGUGCUCCUCCAUAACAAAUCAAAAACAUACCUGUGUGACAUCAUCUGACGCAGCGACCUCAAGCCUACUAUAUGAAACACAUUAACAGGUCAGGCCUCCCCCUCUUAGGUGCCCUCUACUUGCCUGAAUACCCCACUGUGACACACUUGUCCGGAGGCUAAGACAAUCUAACCAUAUGGCUGGUAUCUCCACACUCGAAGCAACCUCUCUGCUGACGUGGCUGUGGGAACUGUGUGGCACGGGUACUUUGAGACCCAUGAGCACCUGAAACAUUAUGCGAAGCCUGAAGUGCAAACUGAAUUGGCUGACCCACAAAACCUCUACCAUGUCGUACCUUGCCUUCAAAAUAAGGACCAGUAGAUCUCUCUAGUCUACGAGGCCUCCUCGUCUCCCUGUCCUCUCUCUCCUGACCUCGCCUGUCCUUUCUCUCUUGGUCCUACCUAUCCUCUCUCUCCUAGUCCCACAUGCCCUUUACUCGGCGGGCUAUCCCUACCACCUACUGAAACGAAACAUUUGACUCUAACUCCCGAGCCAUGUUGAACCGAAUAUCAUGCCUGAGCCUCUCAAUGAAUCUACGGACACGCUCUCUAACUGUAGCGACCAAAGUAGGUGCAUAUCUGGCUAAAUCACUGAAUCUAACGGCAUACUCUGAUACUGACAUAGUGCCCUAGCGCAACUGCUCAAACUCCGCGCGCCAUGCAUCGCGAAGGGAUUGGGGUACAAACUCUCUCAGGAACAUCUCUGAAAACUGAACCCAUGUGAGUGAAGCUGACUCGGCCAGGCUACCCAACUCAUACGCCCUCCACCACUGAUAAGCCGCUCCCCUGAGCUGGAACAUAGUAAAAGCAACCUGGCUCACCUCCACAAUAUCCAUAGUACGGAGAAUGCGGUGACACUCCUUCAGAAAACUCUGGCAUCAUCUAUCGCCAAUCCAGUGAAGGUAGGAGGGUGGUACUUCUUGUACCUCUCAAGUCUAAGUUGUUCUUCCUCAGAUGCUGCUGCCCUAACCACGGGCUGAACUAGAACCACAGGCUAUGUCGCCAUGACACCUGGAACCUGAACAACAUAAACUCGUUGCUCUGUAGUGUAGGCGACGGGAGUUUGAGCUCCUCCCCCGGUCUGUGAAGUAGCUGGUGCAACCGGAAACAACCCCGCCUGAACCAAUAUACCAAACAUGCUUAGGAGUUGUGCUAAGGUCUCCUGAAGUCCGGGGGUAACAGUAGGUGCCUCCGGUACCUGUCCCCCAACCGGAGCUACUGGCGGCUCCUCAACUGCUGUUCUGGUCGAUGCUCUAGCUGCGACACGUGCUCCUCUUCAGCCUCUACCUCUUCCCCUAGCGACACUUGCUCUGAGGGCAGCGUCAUCAGUAACUGCAGCUCGUAUCCUCACCAUCUGUGAGAGAAUGGAAUGAUAAAAGCUUCAAACUUUGAGAUAAAUAAACUCGCACUAUAAGAAUGAAGGAAGUGAAACUGUCCUAAUAGUUCCGUAGCCUCUCAAAGAUAAGUACAGACGUCUCCGUACCGAUCCGCAAGACACUACUAAACUCGUUUAUGACUUGUAGCACCUAUGAACCUAGAGCUCUUAUACCAACUUGUCACGACCCAAUUUCCCCUCCGUUGGGUAUCGUGAUGGAAACUAGUCUUAGGGACUAGGUAAGCCUAUUAUCAUCUGAAUAACAACGAUAAUAAAGUAACAUCUAAUAAUUUCUUUAAUGGAAUUCUCUAUACAAAUUUACAAUUCCCAAAACCGGUAGUACAAGUCAUAAGCUCUACAGAAUUUUGCUAUAAUUUUCUAAAUACAACUGUUUGAAGUAAAGUAAACAGUAUGAAUACAAAUCAGAAGGUGACUCUGAAGCCUGCAAACUCAGCAACAGGUUUACCUUGAGUCUCCGCAGCAACAAUCCGCACAGUUAGCUAAUGAUCAACUGACUUCGAAAUAUCUGGAUCUGCACAACACUAUGCAAAAGUGUAGUAUGAGUACACCACAGUGGUACCCAGCAAGUAUCAAGACUAACCUCAGUUGAGUAGUGACGAGGAACAGUCAAGACACCUACUGGACUAAAUAACCUGAACAAGUGUAAGUAUAGGAACAACAAAGUAUGGUAUAUAUAUAAAGACUAUGCGAAAUGGAAAAUAAUACAGUAAUCGCAGUAAGAAAAGAAAACAACAACUAUCAGCGGAAAUAAAAUAAUAAUGACAUAGAAGAAUGAACGGCAACACAACCUAAAUUCGGUAAACACAGAUAAGGAAAGGACAAGUAAUAACUCAACAAAAACGACCGCUUUCACAUCAGAUUUUAGUCAAUAAACUCCACGAGGUACCAAACCUCAGACUAUUCACACUCAUGGGUCCCAAUAUCUGAACCCUAACAUUUGGCAUCAUGUGCCCUCAUUACACUUCAUAACCGCAUUGACGACUCACGUGCUAAAUAGAGUCAUUCUCACAUAAAAGGCAAGUAAACAAGGGUGUACAUCUAUACUCAGAAAUAUCAAGAAUCCUCUUAACCGAUAAGAGUGCUUAACUACGUGUAUGCUUGUGCAAGUGUUCUAAUAUAGUUCAUACCAGCUAGUAAGCACAAGAAAAGAAACAGACAACAUACAGAAUAUUUUCUCACAACUUUCACAAGAUAAAGCUCACACAGGUAAGUGUACCACUACACAAAUAUCAGCAACAAUAAUGCCCCCAGGCCAUCACAAAUCAAUCCCUGACAUAGCCCACCUUGCCUCACCACGUGUGCAAUAAUAAAGUAUAUGCCCGCCUUGUCUCACCACAUGCGCAACCCACAUAUAUAUAGCCCGCCUUGUCACGCCGCAUGUGCAAAUAUCAAUAGUAACAAUAGCACGACAGAAAUCUCGUGCAACCCCAUAACAACAACCGCAAGGAAGAAAGCCUGUGCAUCACAAUAACAACAACCGCACGGCAGAAACCUCGUGCAUCACCACAACAAGUACAAUAACAACAAUGACAAUAAUAUAAAGUACGAGUCAAAUAAUUCCAAAUAAGGGUAGGUCAACUAAGGCAUAGGAUAUCUAAGCUUCUUUUAAGGUUGGGCAAUUACGAAAGAGAUAUGAAAAAUUCCAUUAAAGGUACACAACGGGAAGAUAACCAUAACCUCAAUUAAGGAUGAACAAUUACAAAAGAGAUAACUAUAACUUCAAAUAAAGAUAAGCAGUUAAGGGGAAUGAUAAUAUGGCAAUANAUGGCAAUAGAAGAGUUAACAGUUUCAAUUAAGGCACAUAUGAAUCAAAUAAAUAAUAAGAGUGGAUCAUGAAGCAAUUAGUUCUAAUUAAAGUAUGUAGAGGUGAAGCCAGUCAUUAAGGAACGUAUUCGUAACAAAACAAUUGCAUGCUCAAUGAACACAAGGACCUAAGAACCCUAAAAGGCCAAUUUUCAUACAUAAGUCCGAGUACGUACUCGUCACUUCGCGUACACGGACUACAAUAAGCAUGAAAUACUCAAAUCCUAAGGGGUAAUUCCCCCACACAAGGUUAGGCAAGAUACGUACCUCAAAGCAGACAGACCGAUACUCAAAAAUGAACUUCUCGGGUGAAAUGGCAUCCGGACGGCUCAAAUCUAACCAAAAUAACUUCAAAGCACAAAUAAAACUCAUAAGAAACUAUUCAGGAUCAUAAAGUCUUAAUCUUUAUCAAAAUCUAAAAAUCGACCCUAAAGUCGACCCCCGGGCCCGCAUCUCGGAACCCGACAAUUGUCACAAAUCCGAAUAAUAUUGUGUGGAGAUAGAAGAAGAAUAUAUUGAAGAAGAGUCGCUUGAUUUGAUGAUAUAUAUAGGAAAAGAAGCGCGUUACAGGACGCGCGACCAUAUGCAGUGCCCCCCCCCCCGGGACAAUAAUCAUUGCAGAAACAAGGAACGUUUUUCCUUGUUCUUUUUUUUUUGAAAUUAAGGAAUCUAUUCAUAAUCUUUUUUUGUUUUUUCCAUUACGUGUUGAAUCUAAGAGUUUACGAUUAAAGAAUAUGAUCAAUGCAGCUGCUUUAACCUUUGUUACUUUGUGAAGAUUAGCCGUCAAUAUAUUUUCAAAAAUAGUACAUAUAUGUAUUUGAAUUUUUCCUUUUUGAAAGGACUAAUUGUAUCUUUGCCCCUAAGAAAACUCUUACCUUAUCCCUCCCCCCACCCACAUAGUGUGAAGUACUCCUCUUCCCCUACACCACGACUAAUGACGUUUUCAUUAGCUAAAGGUAACAUAAUCUUAAUUAAAUGGAAGAUUACGCGCAUAUACUUGAUAUAGUCCACAUCAAAAUGGUGUAAGAAAUGACAUUACUAAUAUAGAAUCAUUCUGAUCAUUAAGAUGUAUCUCCAGAGGAGACUUGAGGUAUAACUGCACAGAGUCCGCAGUUCCGAAGUCCCCGUCUACUUUACUUUAGCUGUGUGUUUCCUUUCAGACAUCUUUAUUUUGUUCAGACCCUUAUUUGUAUUAUUCUAGAAGCUCGUGCACUUAUGACUUCAGUUUUGGGAUGAUAUUUAGAUAUCGCGAUUAUUAUGGAUUAUUCACUUGAUUUCAGACUUUAUUUUCGCAUUUGUUUCUUUGUUAUUAAUUUAUAUAAAAUGGUUUUAAAUGGCAAAUUAUAUUCUAACGUUGGCUUGCCUAGCAAGUGAAAUGUUAAGCGUCAUCACGGUCCCGUAAGUGGAUAUUUCGGGUCAUUGCCCAACCUUAAAAGAAGCUUAGAUUUCCUAUGCCUUAGUUGACAUACCCUUAUUUGGAAUUAUUUGACUCGUGUUAGUUUCCUUGUUGUUGAACCGUACAUUUUGGAACCGUUAUUACAUAUUGUUUCCUUCCCUGUUGAGCUGUUCUUACUAAGCCUAGUAUUCUUUAUUAUGGUUAUUCUUUGUGAACUAGUUCUACCGUUUCUCGUGAUCGAAGGUUAUUGAGUUGAUUUACUUGUCGUACUUUAUAUUAUUGUCAUUGUUGCUAUUGUACUUGUUGUGGUGAUGCACGAGGUUUCUGCCGUGCGGUUGUUGUUAUUGUGAUGCACGAGCUAUCUUCCUUGCGGUUGUUGUUAUGGGGUUGCACGAAAUUUCUGUCGUGCUAUUGUUACGAUUGAUAUUUGCACAUGCAGCAUGACAAGGCGGGCUAUAUAUAUGUGGGUUGCGCAUGUGGUGAGACAAGGCGGGCAUAUACUUUAUUAUUGCACACAUGGAGAGGCAAGGUGGGCUAUGUCAGGGAUUGAUUUGUGAUGGCCAGGGGGAAUUAUUGUUGUUGAUAUUUGUGUAGUGGUACACUUACCUGUACGAGCUUUAUCUUGUGAAAGUUGUGAGAAAACAUAAUCUUCAGGAUAUAAUACUUUCCAAAUCUUCCGAAAAUCAAACUCGACCACACCCGCGGGUCAUAAAACAUAUUACGAAACUGCUCGAGACCUUAAGUCACUGAACGCGGCAUUAAUUCAUAAAACGACAAGUCGAGUCGUUACAGGGCCGCAUUCAUAACAUAAUCUCUUUAAUCAUAUCCUUUCAUGUUUACUCACUAUAUUCUUCCAUUGAUAACUAAUCUAUCUGUCUAUUUAUACUAUUAUAAAAAAUAAAAAAAAGCUCCAAACACAAAACAUUAAUACUCAUUGUUUUAAUAUAUUCUUAGUGUAUUUAACUUAAAUCUACAAAUAAUCAACUAAAAUGACAAGUACACUACAGUCCAUGUUGUUGGGACGCAUCUAUCCAGACAAUCAUAUACUAUGGUACCCACUUUAAUAUGUAGUCGGUGGUCUCCACUUCGACCGCAAUUUUCUUAUACUCGUUAAUACUUGUUCACUAUAUACAAGCAGUAUUAUUUUUGUGAAGGACAAGAUUUUAACUAAAGAGAAAAACGUAAUUAUUUAGCCAAUUAUAAAACAAUUCAAUAAGAGAAAGAAACCAUAGAUAUUAGUCCAUUCAAUCAAGCAUCAUAUCCUUUCUUUUAAACAAACAUAUCAUGAAAACUCAGGGGAAGCGCAUGUGCCUCUACUUUCAAUCUCUUCUAUAUGUCUAAAAAAUAGAAAUUGUAAUAAAAAAAGUGAGGACAGUAAAUUAGCUAGCUCUUGUAUAAAGGAAGUAAUGGAUCCAAGCCUAGUCGACGAAAUGCUUUUUUCUUCUUUCUUCCCAGGUAGCACAGAACUAGAUCUACCCUUUCUGCCCAAAACCGCCUGUCCUCAAAUGCAUCUGCCAACUUGUUGAAAACCCAAUAGAGGAUCUUCACAGAAGGAAUCAAGUAGAGGAAAAACACAAGCGGUAUAAGAGACUCCGGCAACAGCAGUGAGCCAGUGCUUGCAAUUGAAAGAAAAAUGCAAAAUUCCAGAUAACGCGCAUAUGAUUGAUAUACCCCAGGACAUUUCACUUUGAUUCCAAAAAGGCACCAUAGCAUUACCAAAGCGCCUACAUCUAUUCGGACGUUGAUGUAAUGCUCUUCAAAUAGAUUCUACUGGCCGCCUUGAAAUUUAAGUUGAAGCAAGGCAAUGAAAAGAGCUAUUAUUGCUGUAGAAAAUGUGAAGAUCAGCGGAUUUGCUGAUGAACUUUCAAUUGACUUACAUACACGUACAAGAAGAAUAUUGUGUGAAGAUAGAAGAAGAAUAUUGUGAAGAAGAGUCGCUUGAUUCGAUGAUAUAUAUAGAGAAAAAGAAGCGCGUUACAGGACGCGCGACCACAUGCAUUGACCCCCCGGACAAUAAUCAUUGCAAAAAACAAGGAACAUUUUUCCUUUUUCUUUUUUUUUUUUUUGAAAUUAAGGAAUCUAUUCAUAAUCAUUUUUCAUUUUUUCAAUUACGUGUUGACUCUAAGAGUUUACGAUUAAAAAAUCCGAUCAAUGCAGUUGCUUUAACCUUUGUUACUCUGUGAAGAUUAGCCGUCAAUAUAUUUGCAAAAACAAUACAUUUAUGUAUUUGAAUUUUUCUUUUUUGAAAGAACUAAUUGUAUCUUUGCCCCAAGAAAACUCCUACCUUAUCCCUUCCCCCACCCACACAAUGUGAAGUACUCACCUUCCCCUACACCACGACUAAUGACAUUUUCAUUAGCUAAAGGUAACAUAAUCUUAAUUAAAUGGAAGAUUACGCGCAUAUACUUGAUAUAGUCCACACCAAAAUUGUGUAAGAAAUGACAUUACUAAUAUAGAAUAAUUCUGAUCAUUAAGAUGUAUCUCCAGAGGAGACUUGAGGUAUAACUGCACAGAGUCUGCAGUCCCGAAGUCCCCGUCUACUUUACUUUAGCUGUGUAUUUCCUUUCAGACAUCUUUAUUUUGUUCAGACCCUUAUUUAUAUUAUUCUAGAAGUUCGUGCACUUAUGACUUCAGUUCUGGGAUGAUAUUUAGAUACCGCGAUUAUUAUAGAUUAUUCACUUGAUUUCAGACUUUAUUUCCGCAUUUGUUUCUUUGUUAUUAAUUUAUAUAAAAUGGUUUUAAAUGACAAAUUAUAUUCUAACGUUAGCUUGCCUAGCAAGUGAAAUGUUAGGUGUCAUCACGGUCCCGUAGGUGAAUAUUUCGGGUCAUGACAAUUUUUCUCUUUAGUUAAAAUCUUGUCCUUCACAAAAAUAACACUACUUGUAUAUAGUGAACAAAUAUUAACGAGUAUAAGAAAAUUGCGGCCGAAGUGGAGACCACCGACUACAUAUUAAAGUAGGUACCAUAGUAAAUGAUUGUCUGGAUGGAUGUGUCCCAACAACAUGGAUUGUACUGUACUUAUCAUUUUAGUUGAUUAUUUGUAGAUUUAAGUUAAAUACACUGAGAAUAUAUUAAAACAAUGACUAUUAAUGUUUUGUGUUUGGAGCUUUUAUUUUAUUUUUUAUAAUAGUAUAAAUAGACAGAUAGAUUAUUAUCAAUGGAAAAAUAUAGUGAGUAAACAUGAAAGGAUAUGAUUAAAGAGAUUAUGUUAUGAAUGCGGCCCAAGAUAGCAAAUGUGGUGAAGGUGGAUCCAUUAGAAAGAGAAGUAGGCCCAUAUAUCUGCCAAAGAACUUGUCAAAUGACUUUUGGGACCCUGAUUAAGAUAAGACUAAUAUGGAUAUAAAAUGGGGAAGCUGUGGAGAAGAUCCUUGUGGAAAUACAAAGUCUUUUCUUUAAUUUGAUUUAGCUCUUGUUGGGGCACUCUGGAACCUCCCUCCAUUCUUGUUUUCCUUUUUUAGUUCCUUUUCCUUGUUUCUGAUAUUGUUUGUCGUUGGAAUCAAUCUCUAUCUUCUUCAGUAAAUAUAGAUCCAUUAUGGAUUACCAAUUAAGGAGCACGCACUAUAGAAUUCACAUAUUUAUUGUACUGAUUUAAUUUGAGCAAUUAUUAAUGUAUGAACAUGAAGAGAUAAAACUAGGGGAAAAAAAGGAAAAAUCACAUUCACAUGUUUGGAAGAAUUGUAUCAUUGGUUUGACCUAAAAAUGUACUCCAUUUUAAUGCUUUUAACUUGAUAAAUUAAACCACCCGAUAGAAGUUUGUAAAAACCGUAUUGUCAGAGUAAUUGUAAUAGUAAGUCUUUUUGGAGAUUUGGGAUCAGUUCUUUAGGACCUUCUUUCUUAAUUAACUGCAUGGAUGAUUUUCAAAGAUCUGUAGGACCAUAUGUAUUCCACUAAUUAAGUCUCUAUUCAAAUUUCCCGAUACAUGCAAAAUUCAGUGUAAUGUCAUAUACUACAAAAUCACUGGAGAUACGUCUUAAUGAUAUUAUAUGUUAGUAAUGCUAUCUCUUACACCAUUUUGGUGUGGACUAUAUCAAGUAUAUGCGUGUAAUCUUUCAUUUAAUUAAGAUUAUGUUACCUUUAGCUAAUGAAAAGGUCAUUAGUCGUGGUGUAGGAGAAGGUGAGUACUUCACACUAUGUGGGUGGGGGAAGGGAUAAGGUAAGUUUUCUUGGGGCAAAGAUACAAUAAGUCCUUUCUAAAAAUAAAAAUUUAAAUACAUAAAUGUAUUGUUUAUGCAAAUAUAUUGACGGCUAAUCUUCACAGAGUAACAAAGGUUAAAGCAAUUGCAUUGAUCGGAUUUUUUAAUCGUAAACUCUUAGAGUCAACACGUAAUGGAAAAAAUGAAAAAUGAUUAUGAAUAGAUUCCUUAAUUUCAAUAAAAAAAAAAGGAAAAAUAUUUCUUGUUUUUUGCAAUGAUUAUUGUCCGGGGGAGGGGGGCACUGCAUGUGGUCGUGCAUCCUGUAACGCACUUCUUUUCCUCUAUAUAUAUCAUCGAAUCAAGCGACUCUUCUUCAUAAUAUUCUUCUUCUAUCUUCACACAAUAUUCUUCUUGUACGUGCAUGUAAGUCAAUUGAAAGUUCAUAAGAUCAAUGGCAAAUCCGAUGAUCCUCACAUUUUUUACAGCGAUAAUAGCUCUUUUCAUUGCCUUGCUACAACUUAAAUUUCAAGGCGGCCAGCAGAAUCUAUUUCAAGAGCAUUGCAUCAACAUCCGAAUAGAUGUAGGCGCUUUGGUAAUGCUAUGGUGCCUCCUUGGAAUCAAAGUGAAAUGUCCUGGGGUAUAUCAAUCAUAUGCGCGUUAUCUGGAAUUUUGCGUUUUUCUUUCAAUUGCAAGCACUGGCUCACUGCUGUUGCCGGACUCUCUCAUAUCGCUUGUGUUUUUCUUCUACUUGAUUCCUUCCGUGAAGAUCCUCUAUUGGGUUUUCAACAAGUUGGCAGAUGCAUUUGAGGACAGGCGAUUUUGGGCAGAACGGGUAGAUCCAGUUUUGUGCUACCUGGGAAGAAAGAAGGAAAAAGUAUUUCGUCGACUAGGCUUGGAUCCAUUACUUCCUUUAUACAAGAGCUAGCUGAUUUACUAUCCUCACUCUUUUUAUUACAAUUUUUAUUUUUUAGACAUAUAGAAGAGAAUGAAAGUAGAGGCACCUGCGCUUCCCCUGAUUUUUCAUGAUGUGCUUGUUUAAAAGAAAGGAUAUGAUGCUUGAUUGAAUGGACUAAUAUCUAUGAUUUCUUUCUCUUAUUGAAUUGUUCUAUAAUUGGCUAAAUAAUUACGUUUUUCUCUUUAGUUAAAAUCUUGUCCUUCACAAAAAUAAUACUGCUUGUAUAUAGUGAACAAGUAUUAACGAGUAUAAGAAAAUUGCGGUCGAAGUAGCGACCACCGACUACAUAUUAAAGUAGGUACCAUAGUAUAUGAUUGUCUGGAUAGAUGUGUCCCAACAACAUGGACUGUAGUGUACUUGUCAUUUUAGUUGAUUAUUUGUAGAUUUAAGUUAAAUACGCUAAGAAUAUAUUAAAACAAUGAGUAUUAAUGUUUUGUGUUUGGAGCUUUAUUUUUUUUAUAAUAGUAUAAAUAGACAGAUAGAUUAGUUAUCAAUGGAAGAAUAUAGUGAGUAAACAUGAAAGGAUACGAUUAAAGAGAUUAUGUUCCUUAUCAAAAAAAUGAAUGCGGCCCUGUAACGACCCGACUUGUCAUUUUAUGAAUUAACGCCGCGUUCAGUGACUUAAGGUCUCGAGCAGUUUCGUAAUAUAUUUUAUGACCCGCGAGUGUGAUCGAGUUUGAUUUUCGGAAGAUUCGGAAAUAAAUUGAAAGAACGAUUUUUAUUUAGAAGCUUAAAUGGAAAGAGUUGAUCGGAGAGUUGACUUUUGAGCAAACGACCCCAGAAUGGAAUUUUGAUGAUGUCAAUAGUUUCGUAUGGUGAUUUUGCACUUGGGUGUAUGUCCGAAUUUAGAUUUGGAAGUCCGUAGGACAAUUCGAUGCAUUUUGGCGAAAGUUGAAACACUACCAACUUGGACUCAAUUUUCGAAAAUAUUUUUGAAAGAAUUUGUUCCCCAAACUCUCCGGGAUGUGUGGCGCACAUAGUUUGAAUGAUUGCAUUAGGGCACCAUGACGGUGUCAGAAUAUAAUAUCAGGUUCAGUGAGUUAGCCCGUCAUGCACCUAUCUUGGUUCCUACAGUUAGAGAGCGAGUUCGCAUAUUCAUUGAAAGGCUCGAUUAUGAUUUUAAAAUACGUAUAAAUCGAGAGUUGCGGACUGACAUUCCAUUUCAGGAAGUAGUAGAGAUUGCUAGGAUGUUAGAACAUGUUCGAAGUGAGGAGAAGGAGGCUAAGGAGGCCAAAAGGUCUUGGAACUCGGGUUCGAUCCCUAAAGACGGCAAUCAAUCAUUGGUUGCUCUCUUUACUUCAUAAAAAUAAAGGUCUUAGAACUCUGGAGAAUUUAGUGGAUUCUACUCUGCAGCUAUGACUCAUCAUGGCGGAGUCUCGGGCAAUUGGUCAGCCUAGUCCGCAAUUCAGAGUACUCGUAGUGCUCAAGUUAAUACUUUUAGUGGACCACCGGCAUGGGGUACUUACAGUGGUUAUUCUAGUUAUCCGGCAGAGACUCAGUAUGAGCAGUCGCGCCUGCAUAGGAGUUGUUAUGAGUGUGGUGGUACUAGAUACACUAAGAGAAAUUGUCCCAGACUUGAGAUGGGUGGAUUUUGCCACGACCCAAUUUUCCCUCCGUUGGGUAUCAUGAUGGCACCUAGUCUUAGGGACUAGGUAAGCCUAAUAAUAAUUAAAUCAAUAAGAUUAUUUAAAUAGAAUCUCUUAAAAUUUUCAAAAAUGGUAGUACAAGUCAUAAGCUCUACAGAGUAUUUGCUAGAAAACUUCUAAAUACAACUGUCCAUAAAUAAGAAUAAAUAGUGCAAAACGAAAACUGGAAGGUGACUCCGAAGCCUGCGAACGCAGCAUCAGGUUUAUCUUGAGUCUCCACAGCAAUAGUCCACACAGCUAGCUAACAAACAAGUACCUAGAUCUGCACAAAAAUGUACAGAAGAGUAGCAUGAGCACACCACAACGGUGCCCAGUUAGUAUCAAGACUAACCUCGGUGGAGUAGUGACGAGGAACAGUCAAGACACCCACUGGUCUAACAAACCGAACAGAUAUAAGUACAUGAAUAAUAGAAGUAUGAUGUCUACAUAAAGACUAUAUAAUAUGGCUCACAAUACAGUAAUGGCAUUAAAGCAAGAAAUAACAAGUAUCAGCGGAAUAUCAUGAAAAUGACGUAGACAAAGUGAAUGGAAUACAACCUAAAUCCGAAAUCACGAAUACAACAAGGACAAGUAAUAACUCAGUAAUUACAACCGUUUUUAUAUCAGGUUUUAGUCAACAACUCCACGAGGUACCGAACCUCGGACAAUUCACAGCUCACGGGUCUUAAUACCUGAACCCUAACACUUGGCAUCAUGUGCCCUCAUAACACCUCAUAACCACACUGACGACUCACGUACCAAUAAAGCCAUUCUAACAUAGAAGACAAGUAAAUAAGGGUGAGCAUCUAUGCUCAACAAUAUCAAGAACACCUCUUAUCCGAUAAGAGUGCUUGACUACGUGUAUGCUUGUGCAAGUGUCCUAACAUAGUCCAUACCAGCAAAUAAGCAUAAGAAAGAAGAAGAACGGACAACACGUAGAAUAUUUUAUCACAGCUUUCACAAGAUAAAGCUCGCACAUGUACGUAUACCACUACACAAAUAUCAACAACAAGAAUGCUCCCAGACCAUAAAUCAUCACAAAUCAAUCCCUGACACAGCCCACCUUGGCUCGCCACGUGUGCAAUAGUAACAUAAAUGCCCGCCUUGUCUCACCACACGUGCAUAAUAAUGUUCCCACAUUGUCUCGCCACAUGCGCAACCCACACAUAUAUAUAUAUCCCACCUUGUCACGCCGCAUGUGCAAAUAUCAAUAGUAAUAAUAGCACGGCAGAAACCUCGUGCAUCACAAUAAUAACAACCGCACGGCAAAAACUUCGUGCAUCACCACAACAAAUACAACAACAACAAUGGCAAUAAUACAAAGUACGACAAGUAAAUCAACUCAAGAACACUUUUAAAUCACAGGAAAAUGUGGGACCAAAUAACAAGAAGUAACCACAGUCUGAAAUGCUAGGCGUAAAGUGAACAACUCAACAAAGGGAAAACUAAAGUGUAGCAACGAAUCCCACAAUAUACACUUCAACAACAGGGAAGCUAACACGAAUCCAAUAAUGCCAAAUAAAACAAGUCGACUAAGAUAUAUAAUAUCUACUUCUUUUAAGGUUGAGGAAAUUACGAAGGAUAUUCAACAAUUCAAUUAAGGAUAACAGCGAAAAAAUAAUCAUAACCUCAAUUAAGACUAAAUAAUUAUAGGAUGAAAUAAUAUAAAUUCCAAAUAAAGAUAAGCAGUUAUGAAAAGAUAGCAUGGUUAUAAAAGAGAUAACAGUUUCAAUUAAGGCACAUAUGAAUCAA
rnacentral:lncRNA from 1 species